AUUGAACGCUGGCGGCAGGCUUAACACAUGCAAGUCGAGCGGGGGGAGGUAGCUUGCUACCUAACCUAGCGGCGGACGGGUGAGUAAUGCUUAGGAAUCUGCCUAUUAGUGGGGGACAACAUUUCGAAAGGGAUGCUAAUACCGCAUACGCCCUAAGGGGGAAAGCAGGGGAUCUUCGGACCUUGCGCUAAUCGAUGAGCCUAAGUCGGAUUAGCUAGUUGGUGGGGUAAAGGCCUACCGAGGCGACGAUCUGUAGCGGGUCUGAGAGGAUGGUCCGCCAAACUGGGACGGAGACACGGCCCAGACUCCUACGGGAGGCAGCAGUGGGGAAUAUUGGACAAUGGGGGGAACCCUGAUCCAGCCAUGCCGCGUGUGUGAAGAAUGCCUUUUGGUUGUAAAGCACUUUGAGCGAGGAGGAGGCUACCGAGAUUAAUACUCUUGGAUAGUGGACGUUACUCGCAGAAUAAGCACCGGCUAACUCUGUGCCAGCAGCCGCAGUAAUAC
rnacentral:rRNA from 1 species